UACGGGGGGGGCAAGCGUUGUUCGGAAUUACUGGGCGUAAAGGGCUCGUAGGCGGCCAACUAAGUCAUACGUGAAAUCCCUCGGCUUAACCGGGGAACUGCGUCUGAUACUGGAUGGCUUGAGUUCGGGAGAGGGAUGCGGAAUUCCAGGUGUAGCGGUGAAAUGCGUAGAUAUCUGGAGGAACACCGGUGGCGAAGGCGGCAUCCUGGACCGAGACUGACGCUGAGGCGCGAAAGCGUGGGGAGCAAACAGG
rnacentral:rRNA from 1 species